rnacentral:lncRNA from 1 species
CCCUCCCCCAGCCUCGCUGCCGCCUUGCAGUUUGAUCUCAGACUGCUGUGCUAGCAAUUAGCAAGACUCCGUGGGCGUAGGACCCUCCGAGCCAGGUGCGGGUUAUAAUCUACUGGUGCGCCGUGUUUUAAGCCCGUGGAAAAGCACAGUAUUAGGGUGGGAGUGACCCGAUUUUCCAGGUGCCGUCGGUCACCCCUUUCUUUGACUAGGAAAGGGAACUCCCUGACCCCUUGCGCUUCCCGAGUGAGGCAAUGUCUCGCCCUGCUUUGGCUCGCGCAUGGUGCGCUGCACCCACUGUCCUGCGCCCACUGUCUGGCACUCCCUAGUGAGAUGAACGCGGUACCUCAGAUGGAAAUGCAGAAAUCACCUGUCUUCUGCGUCACUCAUGCUGGGAGCUGUAGACCCGAGCUGUUCCUGUUCGUCCAUCUUGGCUGUAAUCCCAGGUUCAUCAAAAUAAGAUAUGAUCAAGGUACAAAAGAGUUAAAGAAGCUAUUUAUUUUAAUGUUUCCUUGGAGAGCACACUUGUUAUUAUGCCUGCCCCAGCUUUGCCUUCCACCAUGAGUAAAAGCUUCCCAAGUCCUCCCCAGAAGCAGAUGCUGGCGCUAUGCUUCUGGUACAGCCUGAAAAACCUUGAGCCAAUUAAACCUCAGUGAGCUCAAGAUGUCUUUGUUGAAACAGAACCUCCCGAAGUUACAGUAUUGGUUUUGGGGCUCCACACAGAGAACACAUCACGGAAGCUAUAAUUGAGGAAGACAAAGCUGUCAGGACGACACCAAGAGAGUUAGAAAGCCCAAGAGUGGAGCAUUCUUCACCAUGAUUCCACCUGACACUUGGCUGAAAGCAUUUUGCACUAAUUUGCUUUGUGCCCGUUCAGACAAUCUAAAAAGAAAGGAUGGGGGGACAACAAGUGUCUAUUACACAGAAUAAACAGCCUCUGGCAAAUGAAUACAUUUU